rnacentral:rRNA from 1 species
GNAUUUAUUGGGCGUAAAGCGAGCGCNGGCGGUUAGAUAAGUCUGAAGUUAAAGGCUGUGGCUUAACCAUAGUACGCUUUAGAAACUGUUUAACUUGAGUGCAGAAGGGGAGAGUGGAAUUCCAUGUGUAGCGGUGAAACGCGUAGAUAUAUGGAGGAACACCGGUGGCGAAAGCGGCUCUCUGGUCUGUAACUGACGCUGAGGCUCGAAAGCGUGGGGAGCGAACAGGAUUAGAUACCCUGGUAGUNCACGCCGUAAACGAUGAGUGCUAGGUGUUAGGCCCUUUCCGGGGCUUAGUGCCGCAGCUAACGCAUUAAGCACUCCGCCUGGGGAGUACGACCGCAAGGUUGAAACUCAAAGGAAUUGACGGGGGCCCGCACAAGCGGUGGAGCAUGUGGUUUAAUUCGAAGCAACGCGAAGAACCUUACCAGGUCUUGACAUCCCGAUGCCCGCUCUAGAGAUAGAGUUUUACUUCGGUACAUCGGUGACAGGUGGUGCAUGGUUGUCGUCAGCUCGUGUCGUGAGAUGUUGGGUUNNNNNNNNCAACGAGCGCAACCCUUAUUGUUAGUUGCCAUCAUUCAGUUGGGCACUCUAGCGAGACUGCCGGUAAUAAACCGGAGGAAGGUGGGGAUGACGUCAAAUCAUCAUGCCCCUUAUGACCUGGGCUACACACGUGCUACAAUGGCUGGUACAACGAGUCGCAAGUCGGUGACGGCAAGCUAAUCUCUUAAAGCCAGUCUCAGUUCGGAUUGUAGGCUGCAACUCGCCUACAUGAAGUCGGAAUCGCUAGUAAUCGCGGAUCAGCACGCCGCGGUGAAUACGUUCCCGGGCCUU